GUGGACACCGUCCCAGAACAGACGAGUGGAUGGAUCCUCGCAUGUCGUUGCAGCUUUGUCGCCACAAACGAUCGAUAGAUUGUAGUGGUACCUCCCAGGUCCUCCACAGCAAAUGGUAAGAGCGUCCUUUUUAAACCCUGCAACCACAUAAUUGAUGAACUCACCUUCAGUAAAUUUUACCACCACUCCAUUUUGUCAACCUUACUACACAUAGGUAUUUCACAACAAAAAGGUUUGUAAUAGGUUCGGAUGAAUCUAGGAGUAUAGUAGAUCUAACAACAAAGAGCAUAUAUGCAUGUUACUUACAGAAUUUUUCAGGCGACUUGACCAUCUCCGUGACGUGGUUGAACAGAUCGGUGUGGAUGAUGGUCACGUCGGGGUGCUUUGCCCGGAGCUUCUCGAUGGCCUCCCGCAGCAGCGAGUUGUGGAGCAUCACAAUCUCGUUGGGCUCCUUGAGGCAGCCGGUGGUGGCAUCGUAUUCCGACGCGUCGGCGUCGGCG
rnacentral:lncRNA from 1 species